rnacentral:pre_miRNA from 1 species
UUGGUACUCCCUCCGUCCGGAAAUACUUGUCAUCAAAAUGGAUAAAAGGAAAUGUAUCUAGACGUAUUUUAGUUCUAGAUACAUCCUUUUUUGUCCAUUUUGAUGACAAGUAUUUCUGGACGGAGGGAGUAAUUG